rnacentral:rRNA from 1 species
CCUACGGGAGGCAGCAGUGGGGAAUAUUGCACAAUGGGGGAAACCCUGAUGCAGCGACGCCGCGUGAGUGAAGAAGUAUUUCGGUACGUAAAGCUCUAACAGCAGGGAAGAAAAACCGGCCUUAGGGCCGCCAGACGGUACCUGCCUAAGAAGCCCCGGCUAACUACGUGCCAGCAGCCGCGGUAAUACGUAGGGGGCAAGCGUUAGCCGGAUUUACUGGGUGUAAAGGGAGCGUAGACGGCAGCGCAAGUCUGGAGUGAAAUGCCGGGGCCCAACCCCGGAACUGCUUUGGAAACUGUGCAGCUGGAGUGCAGGAGAGGUAAGCGGAAUUCCUAGUGUAGCUGUGAAAUGCGUAGAUAUUAGGAGGAACACCAGUGGCGAAGGCGGCUUACUGGACUGUGACUGACGUUGAGGCUCGAAAGCGUGGGGAGCAAACAGGAUUAGAUACCCUGGUAGUC